GAUGAACGCUGGCGGCGUGCCUAAUACAUGCAAGUCGAGCGAACAGACGAGGAGCUUGCUCCUCUGACGUUAGCGGCGGACGGGUGAGUAACACGUGGAUAACCUACCUAUAAGACUGGGAUAACUUCGGGAAACCGGAGCUAAUACCGGAUAAUAUAUUGAACCGCAUGGUUCAAUAGUGAAAGACGGUUUUGCUGUCACUUAUAGAUGGAUCCGCGCCGCAUUAGCUAGUUGGUAAGGUAACGGCUUACCAAGGCAACGAUGCGUAGCCGACCUGAGAGGGUGAUCGGCCACACUGGAACUGAGACACGGUCCAGACUCCUACGGGAGGCAGCAGUAGGGACUCUUCCGCAAUGGGCGAAAGCUUGACGGAGCAACGCCGCGUGAGUGCUGAAGGUCUUCGGAUCGUAAACCUCUGUUAUUAGGGAAGAACAAAUGUGUAAGUAACUAUGCACGUCUUGACGGUACCUAAUCAGACAGCCACGGCUAACUACGUG
rnacentral:rRNA from 1 species